rnacentral:rRNA from 1 species
CAUACCUAUUCGAAGGGAUAGGGUCGGUUCGGCCGGGUUUCACACAGGUGUUGCAUGGCUGUCGUCAGCUCGUGUCGUGAGAUGUUGGGUUAAGUCCCGCAACGAGCGCAACCCUCAUCCUUAGUUACCAUCAGGUAAUGCUGGGGACUUUGAGGAAACUGCCAGUGAUAAACUGGAGGAAGGUGGGGAUGAUGUCAAGUCAUCAUGGCCCCUAUGGAGUGGGCUACACACGUGCUACAAUAGUGGCUACAAUGGGCUGCAAAGUCGCGAGGCUAAGCCAAUCCCUUAAAAGCCAUCUCAGUUCGGAUUGUACUCUGCAACUCGAGUGCAUGAAGUUGGAAUCGCUAGUAAUCGUGGAUCAGCAUGCCACGGUGAAUACGUUCUCGGGUCUUGUACACACUGCCCGUCACGCCAUGGGAAUUGGUUUCACUCGAAGCU